UGCUGAAGUAACAAAUGCCCUGCUUCCAGGAAAAGCCUCUAAGCAUCAGGUAACACGAAAUCGUACCCCAAACCGACACAGGUGGUCAGGUAGAGAAUACCAAGGCGCUUGAGAGAACUCGGGUGAAGGAACUAGGCAAAAUGGUGCCGUAACUUCGGGAGAAGGCACGCUGAUAUGUAGGUGAAGCCCCUGCGGGUGGAGCUGAAAUCAGUCGAAGAUACCAGCUGGCUGCAACUGUUUAUUAAAAACACAGCACUGUGCAAACACGAAAGUGGACGUAUACGGUGUGACGCCUGCCCGGUGCCGGAAGGUUAAUUGAUGGGGUUAGCGGCAACGCGAAGCUCUUGAUCGAAGCCCCGGUAAACGGCGGCCGUAACUAUAACGGUCCUAAGGUAGCGAAAUUCCUUGUCGGGUAAGUUCCGACCUGCACGAAUGGCGUAAUGAUGGCCAGGCUGUCUCCACCCGAGACUCAGUGAAAUUGAACUCGCUGUGAAGAUGCAGUGUACCCGCGGCAAGACGGAAAGACCCCGUGAACCUUUACUAUAGCUUGACACUGAACACUGGUCCUUGAUGUGUAGGAUAGGUGGGAGGCUUUGAAGCGUGGACGCCAGUCUGCGUGGAGCCGCCCUUGAAAUACCACCCUUUAAUGGCUGGUGUUCUAACGUAGACCCGUGAUCCGGGUUGCGGACAGUGUCUGGUGGGUAGUUUGACUGGGGCGGUCUCCUCCCAAAGAGUAACGGAGGAGCACGAAGGUUAGCUAAUCCUGGUCGGACAUCAGGAGGUUAGUGCAAUGGCAUAAGCUAGCUUGACUGCGAGAGUGACGGCUCGAGCAGGUGCGAAAGCAGGUCAUAGUGAUCCGGUGGUUCUGAAUGGAAGGGCCAUCGCUCAACGGAUAAAAGGUACUCCGGGGAUAACAGGCUGAUACCGCCCAAGAGUUCAUAUCGACGGCGGUGUUUGGCACCUCGAUGUCGGCUCAUCACAUCCUGGGGCUGAAGUAGGUCCCAAGGGUAUGGCUGUUCGCCAUUUAAAGUGGUACGCGAGCUGGGUUUAGAACGUCGUGAGACAGUUCGGUCCCUAUCUGCCGUGGGCGCUGGAGAAUUGAGGGGGGCUGCUCCUAGUACGAGAGGACCGGAGUGGACGCAUCACUGGUGUUCGGGUUGUCAUGCCAAUGGCACUGCCCGGUAGCUAAAUGCGGAAGAGAUAAGUGCUGAAAGCAUCUAAGCACGAAACUUGCCCCGAGAUGAGUUCUCCCUGAGACUUUAAGUCUCCUGAAGGAACGUUGAAGACGACGACGUUGAUAGGUCGGGUGUGUAAGCGCAGCGAUGCGUUGAGCUAACCGAUACUAAUGAACCGUGAGGCUUAACCUU
rnacentral:rRNA from 1 species